CUUAAAAUCUUAAGACCUUGUUAAGCUUUCACGACCAUUACUAGGCGCGUCCAUCUUCUGGACAUUGAGUGGCUCCUGUCCACUCUGUUUGACGCCUCCCUGUUUAAACUUUGAGCCGCCGGCUACGGCGGCUCUUUUUUC
rfam:Alphaproteobacteria bacterium 13_2_20CM_2_64_7 13_2_20cm_2_scaffold_5560, whole genome shotgun sequence.